rnacentral:rRNA from 1 species
GACGAACGCUGGCGGCGUGCUUAACACAUGCAAGUCGAACGGAAAGGCCCUGCUUUUGUGGGGUGCUCGAGUGGCGAACGGGUGAGUAACACGUGAGUAACCUGCCCUUGACUUUGGGAUAACUUCAGGAAACUGGGGCUAAUACCGGAUAGGAGCUCCUGCUGCAUGGUGGGGGUUGGAAAGUUUCGGCGGUCGGGGAUGGACUCGCGGCUUAUCAGCUUGUUGGUGGGGUAGUGGCUUACCAAGGCUUUGACGGGUAGCCGGCCUGAGAGGGUGACCGGCCACAUUGGGACUGAGAUACGGCCCAGACUCCUACGGGAGGCAGCAGUGGGGAAUAUUGCACAAUGGGCGGAAGCCUGAUGCAGCAACGCCGCGUGCGGGAUGACGGCCUUCGGGUUGUAAACCGCUUUCGCCUGUGACGAAGCGUGAGUGACGGUAAUGGGUAAAGAAGCACCGGCUAAUUACGUG